AUGGGGCUCUUCCUGGGGCAACCUCCGGACCGGAGAAGGGGAAAAACCAAGGUCUGCCCUGCCCCCCAAGGGGAACCGGGAAAGGUGGGGCUGCCCUGCUCCCCCUCCCAGGGAGGGGCCUCCCAAACCCUGACUUCUGGGAGAACUUUCAAGGGGCCCACCGGCCUGGCAAAUCCUCGCCGGAAGCGUCUCGCUGCCCCCGUUCGUCCCCCCGACAUGGGGGGCACGAGCCAAAGGACACGAGGGCUUUCCCAGCCCUGGAAAAUGUUUCUGGGGAAACCUGAGCCGCGCCGACGCUCUUUCACAAGGUGUUUGGAAAAAUCGAGCGGAGCGUGCAUGGGGGGUGGGGGUGGGGCGCUGGCCUCCCGCCUGUCCUCACGGGCCCCUCCCCCCUCCCCAGUGCCCAGGAGCCCUCAGGACCAGAGCGACGCCCCCCGGGGCGCUCUCCGGGCGGCGCCCGUGUCCGGCCCAGCUUCGAGGGCGCCUCUGACCUCUGCCCUUUGCCGGUUUCCCUUCGCUCCUGGCCCCGCCGUGAAGCUGAGGCUCGCGCUUUGGGCGCUUUUGCUUUCAAGGGGUGAGGCUGAGGCCGAGGCCUGCGGUCAGCCCAGCCCGGGCCCGGCUCGGUUUGCCCAGCCCAGGGGGCUGGCGAGCCUCCCCGCGCCCUCCGGGGGCACCUGUUGGGCCUGUCCCCGUGCCGGCCGCUUCCCUCCCGCGCCUUUCUCCCAGCAUGCUGCGGGCCCCAAAGCGGGCGCCGUGCCGCUGCUGCCCGUGCGGCCCCGGGAAGCCUGGCUCUCUGCGGGCCGAGCUCGGGGCCUCCCUCUAGAACAAACGGGCUGGAGCGGAGGAGCCCUCAGCCCCUUCCCCUCCCGCCGAGCCCCCCGGCGGCUCUGGGGCCGCGGCCGAGGCCGAGGAGAGACGUCCAGGGCUGCGGCCGCUCUCAAUGCCGGCCCGGACGGUCAGCUCUUCCCGGCUCUCUUCCCGAGGUGGGGGGCCCUGGAGAAGCCUCUGCUUCUCUCUGGGGAUCUCUGA
rnacentral:lncRNA from 1 species